GACAGAGGGUGCAAACGUUGCUCGGAAUCACUGGGCGUAAAGGGCGUGUAGGCGGGACAGUAAGUCGGGCGUGAAAUCCCUGGGCUCAACCCAGGAACUGCACUCGAAACUACUAUUCUUGAGUGUCGGAGAGGAAAGCGGAAUUCCUGGUGUAGAGGUGAAAUUCGUAGAUAUCAGGGGGAACACCAGUGGCGAAGGCGGCUUUCUGGACGAUAACUGACGCUGAGACGCGAAAGCGUGGGGAGCAAACAGG
rnacentral:rRNA from 1 species